rnacentral:lncRNA from 1 species
CUAAUAUCAAAAGAUAAAAUCCCUAUCAACUCACCAAUGCACGAUUGAUCCUAUAAACAAAAAGUGUUCAUCUAAUACACGUCCAAAUAAGCAGCAAAUCUAGAAGAAAAUCUUUCAACUUAUGUCAUCAAUUUUGGGCGGUAAGCUGCGAUUGGAUCAUAUAGUAACACGUGUUUAAUCCCGAUCAACACUUGCAGAUCUAGAGACGAGCAUGAGUUUAAAAAAAAUUCACAAAGUAUAUUCCUGAAUAUAUAUAAUACUAAGACAAAAUCCAUUUUUUUCAUAAAUAUUUCAUUCCCUAAUGAACUAGGAAAUUCAUUCUUUUGAUACCUUUAUAUUGUUAUCGAAUUUAUAUCAGUGGCGGAUACAUGUCUAAAUCCAGAACAAAACAGGGGGGUUCAACUUUAUGUCCCCAUUAAAAGCAUUGAUCGUCAAAAAAAGGGUUGUUCCACCCCCCGGGACCCCCAUCACUGCAUAUUAAAUUCAUGUAUUUGGCAACAAACGCGCGAUUUUUACGAUUUUUUUUAAAGGGGGAAUGGGGGAUUGAAUGGUUCAUCCUGCAUUUUUUCAUCAAACAUAAAGAUUACAGCCUGUGUAUUUUAAAACGAAUUAGCCCCACCCCCCCCUCCCCCUCCCCGCUUUCCGUUUUAUUCAUAAAAAUCAAACGUUAUCUUACUUACCACUAAAAUAUUCCUUAAUAUAUUACUUUUUUACGAAGUUGCAUUUUAAAAAGUCUUAAAUGUGUACAACAAUUAUCUUUUACUUGAAAUAGUUCUUUUUUUUAUCAAAUUAUAAGAUUCCUGAUUUUUUUUCUUGAAAAAAAAUCACGGUUGAAGGGAAAGGAAAAAAAAAAUGUGUUUAUACUAUAACUUACAUUUACUGCUUUAUUGCUAUCCAAGUUUCUCAAAUGUUUAGUCUUGCUUAAAAUAUUAUUACUUGAAACGUCGUACAAGUCAGAUAAAAAAACAAAAGUAACAAAAGAAACAGGCCGGUUACAACCAGCCGAAUAGUUUUUCUGCACUUGUAGUCAGGUCAAGGUCCUCGGC